rnacentral:rRNA from 1 species
UACGUAGGGUGCAAGCGUUAAUCGGAAUUACUGGGCGUAAAGCGUGCGCAGGCGGUUUUGUAAGUCUGUCGUGAAAUCCCCCGGGCUCAACCUGGGAAUUGCGAUGGAGACUGCAAGGCUAGAAUCUGGCAGAGGGGGGUAGAAUUCCACGUGUAGCAGUGAAAUGCGUAGAGAUGUGGAGGAACACCGAUGGCGAAGGCAGCCCCCUGGGUCAAGAUUGACGCUCAUGCACGAAAGCGUGGGGAGCAAACGAGG